rnacentral:rRNA from 1 species
UACGUAGGGCGCAAGCGUUAAUCGGAAUUACUGGGCGUAAAGGGCGCGUAGGCGGUUCGUUAAGUCUGUCGUGAAAUCCCCGGGCUCAACCUGGGAAUGGCGAUGGAUACUGGCGAGCUAGAGUGUGUCAGAGGAUGGUGGAAUUCCCGGUGUAGCGGUGAAAUGCGUAGAGAUCGGGAGGAACAUCAGUGGCGAAGGCGGCCAUCUGGGACAACACUGACGCUGAAGCACGAAAGCGUGGGGAGCAAACAGG